CAGUGGAAAACCCGCGAUGCUGUCAACGGCGCAUUACUUACUGUAGUAGAUACGGAUUUCACACUUUUUCACGAUCUCAAAUUCAGUAUUAUCAGUUUGCGGAGCGAGAUUGUCCGGAAUCCAACAUAAACAGAAAACCGACCAACAGAAACCUCAGGCAGGGAAGGAGCAGUCACAAGAGCCAAAAGAAGAAGAGGAAGAGAAGCCCCCGGCCGCCAUUUUCGCGGGGAUGGAGCUGGAUUCGGAUUCAGAGGAUGAUGAUGUGGAUCCGGACCAAUUAAUCGAUGACUACCCGUUCACACUGGACACAGUCGAAGAUUAUUUUGACGCCAUCGCCGACGGAUACAUCCGUCUACACUAGUUAUAUUCAUAAACCACAAUUCUUAUCUCUCGUAAUUAUCGACGUUCCUCUUACAAUAUAUCUUAUUUUAUAAAAAAAUUAGUUUUUUUUCUGCAUUUCAAGGCUAUACGUAGUCUUUUAAUUUCUUCUGUCAGUAUGAGCGCCUAAACUUAGGGGAACUCGAUAGUUAAUUAAUCUGUUUUAUCAUUGUAGCCAAGUACAUGCAAUAUAAAUAAAUCCAUUGUAAUCACCCAAA